GGGGCAGCGGGGUUGUAGCAAUACAUCUGCCGGCGACCGGCGCACGGGUGAGUAACACAUAUGUAACCUGCCCUCUGCAGGGGGAUAAGCGGAAGAAAUUCCGUCUAAUACCGCAUAAUACAAUUUGGAGACAUCUCCGGGUUGUCAAAGGAGUGAUCCGGCUGAGGAUGGACAUGCGGCGCAUUAGCUAGUCGGCGGGGUAACGGCCCACCGAGGCUACGAUGCGUAGGGGUUCUGAGAGGAACGUCCCCCACACUGGUACUGAGACACGGACCACACUCCUACGGGAGGCAGCAGUGAGGAAUAUUGGUCAAUGGGCGGAAGCCUGAACCCGCCAAGUCGCGUGAGGGAAGACGGUCCUAUGGAUUGUAAACCUCUUUUGCCGGGGAGCAAGGCGCGGUACCUGUACCGCCAAGGAGAGUACCCUGAGAAAAAGCAUCGGCUAACUCCGUGCCAGCAGCCGCGGUAAUACGGAGGAUGCGAGCGUUAUCCGGAUUUAUUGGGUUUAAAGGGUGCGCAGGCGGACGGUCAAGUCAGCGGUAAAAUGUCGGUGCUCAACACCGUCCGGCCGUUGAAACUGGCAGCCUUGAGUGAGCGAGAAGUAUGCGGAAUGCGUGGUGUAGCGGUGAAAUGCAUAGAUAUCACGAAGAACUCCGAUUGCGAAGGCAGCAUACCGGCGCUCAACUGACGCUCAGGCACGAAAGCGUGGGUA
rnacentral:rRNA from 1 species